rnacentral:tRNA from 5 species
GUCACGAUCUGAAAGGUUGAAAUCUGGGUCAUGCAUCUGGAAAGCGCUGGUUCAAAUCCGGCUCGUGACA